UUCCCCUCAGCGAGGCUUGGAGGACUGCCAACACCAAACACACACACAAACACACACACACACAAACACACGCGCCUAAAAACACACACACACACACACAAGAAUGGAAGGCAGCGGAGCAGCUGUUUACGUGCAGGUGUGGGCCAAUUAAACAGAGCAAGCAAUUGACAUGUGUUCCUGUAUGCGAGUCCUGUGUAAGCAAAAUCUGUAUUCUGCAAAUGAGAUGUAUUCAUAAGUCCUACGUACACAGACAACAACAUGGUGCCAUUCACAAACCACCAAUAGGAUUUCACAUGCUUGUGUGUGUGUCUGUGUGUGUGUCUGUGUGUGUGUGCGUGCGUGUGCGUGUGUGUGUGUGUGUGUGUGUGUGUGUGUUUCCUCAUUUCAAUGUGCUGUUUUGGGUUUUGAGUUGUGUUUUAGAUGCAAGUUCGAUUUUUCUUAUUCAGCUUCAGAGGUUCUGGAUUGGAUGAAGAGACAAAAUGAAAACUGGCAUAGACACAACACACAUAUAAUGUGGCCUGGUCCCAAUGUGGAUGUGGUCAAAACAAACUGAAACAUUGAAGCAAUGAGGAUGCUGACCCACGAUUGGUCUCUUCCUUUGUGCAUUCCAUUGUUCCCUCUGUUUAGUUUGAUGUUGCAUCUUCUAGGCUCAUACCUGAGGAUUUUCUCUCUCUGUCUGUCUCUGUCUCCGUCUCUGUCUCUCUUUCUCUGUGUGUCUCUCUCUCCCUAGGUCACUGUCUAUGUUACUGCCUGUUUUAAUCUCCUUCUUUCUCGCCCCUCCAGGUGAGAAGGAGGCAGGUGGGGCCUGGCCCUCUCUCCGCCCCCCCCCCUCCCCUCGCCGGCCCCCUCCUCCACAGGUGGCCGUUCUGGGGGACUCUUCCUCCAUCUCCGCGGCUCACCUUUCGCCUCUGACCCUGACCUCCCUGCUCUUCCUGUCUCUGCUCCUAUCGCUACGGCAACCGCUCUGAGUGGGACCAGGAGCAUUUAAUGAAGACUGGCAGAAAAGAAUAAAGAAAGGAGAAGAAGAAGGGACCGUGACAACGCCUCAGUAGAAGUGUGUGUGCGCGCACGCGUGCGUAUGUGCGUGUGUGUGUGUGUGUGUGUGUGUGUGUGUGUGUGUGGACGGACAUUAGGAAGACACCCACGAUGAAGGCACGCAGGAAGAGGUUCAGCAGAGUGAAGAACAUGGACAGAAGCGGACUCCAUUUUGUGUCGCAGGCGUGUUCAGGACGUUCCUGGUAUAGCCCAUAGGGAACCCUGCUGUCAACCGAGAUUUAGUUACCUUUUAUACGCGGACGUCCCAGUCUGAUGAGAAGCUGUCUCGUCUGAGGACAAGGUGUCUCGUCUGAGGAACAGACGUCCAGUCAGAGGACAAGCUGUCCACUCCGAGGAGAAGCUGUCUCGUCUGAAGACAAGCUGGCAAUGAUUCCUGCCGGGGACAGUUGUUCUCUUUAUGUCCUAUUACCUAGCCUACUUACCCUCUUGUAUAUAUACACGUUUAUUUAACAUUGUUUAAUAGUUUGCACAGCACUACUGACUUUUUGAAGACAAAUGUAAAUACACAUAUUUAUAUGUACAACUCUAUAUUCAAGCAAUUGUUUGGUGUGGUUAUUCUCAGUCGCACACUUGGAACUGUCUAGUCGCAAUUUUUUAAUCUUCAUGCCAUAAAGCAUCAUUCUAUGAAUGUGAUUAACCCUGAAAUGCAAUUUUUCAGUUUCUGAACAAAUAAACAAAAAACAUUAUGAAAUUUA